rnacentral:rRNA from 1 species
GAUGAACGCUGGCGGCGUGCCUAAUACAUGCAAGUCGAGCGAUAAGACGAGGAGCUUGCCCCUCUGGCGUUAGCGGCGGGCGGGAGAGUAACAAGCGGAUACGCUACCUAUAAGUCUGGGAGCGAUACGUGAACCCAGAGCUAAUACGAUAUACGAUAGUAAACCGCAUGGUUCAAUAGUGAAAGCCGGUGUUGCUGUCACUUAUAGAUGGAGCCGCGGCGGAUUAGCUAGUUGGUAAGGUAACGGCUUACCAAGGCAACGAUCGGUAGCCGACCUGAGAGGGUGAUCAGCCACACUGGAACUGAGACACGGCCCAGACUCCUACGGGAGGCAGCAGUGGGGAAUUUUGGGCAAUGGGCGAAAGCCUGACGGAGCAAUGCCGCGUGAGGGAUGAAGGUCUUCGGGUUGUAAAACUCUGUUAUUAGGGACGAACAGCUUUGUAAGAAAAUAUGAGCGUCAUGACGGUACCUAAACAGAAAGCCACGGCUAACUACGUG